GCCUAUUUAGCUUAAUUUUAAAAGCAUAAUAUUGAAAAUAUUAAGAUAUUUAUUUUAAAUUUUAGGCA
rnacentral:tRNA from 1 species